GCCGCCAUGAUGUAACGGUUAAGCAUGAGGGGCUUUUAACCUCUUCGUCUGGGUUCGAUUCCCAGUGGUGGUG
rnacentral:tRNA from 1 species